UACGGGGGGGGCAAGCGUUGUCCGGAAUUACUGGGCGUAAAGGGCUCGUAGGCGGCCAACUAAGUCCGACGUGAAAUCCCCAGGCUUAACCUGGGAACUGCGUCGGAUACUGGAUGGCUUGAAUUCGGGAGAGGGAUGCAGAAUUCCAGGUGUAGCGGUGAAAUGCGUAGAUAUCUGGAGGAAUACCGGUGGCGAAGGCGGCAUCCUGGACCGACAUUGACGCUGAUGAGCGAAAGCUAGGGGAGCAAACGGG
rnacentral:rRNA from 1 species